rnacentral:miRNA from 1 species
ACCUCACCCCGAUGGCGUAGCG